rnacentral:rRNA from 1 species
UACGGAGGGGGCUAGCGUUGUUCGGAAUUACUGGGCGUAAAGCGCACGUAGGCGGCUUUGUAAGUUAGAGGUGAAAGCCCGGGGCUCAACUCCGGAAUUGCCUUUAAGACUGCAUCGCUUGAACGUCGGAGAGGUGAGUGGAACUGCGAGUGUAGAGGUGAAAUUCGUAGAUAUUCGCAAGAACACCAGUGGCGAAGGCGGCUCACUGGCCCGGUACUGACGCUGAGGUGCGAAAGCGUGGGGAGCAAACAGG